rnacentral:sRNA from 1 species
GACCUGAAAUCGUGAACGUGAUCGGUCCUGACAAGUUAGAGCGGAAGCGGGCGGAAUAGCGCGAACCGUUUUCCGGGGCGCGAUCUACCGCAGAUGGUUUCUCU